CCUCUUGUCUUGCCCUUUCUCCUUGCCUCCAUUCAGACAGUGAAGUCGUCAGUGGUUGGUACGUGUGUGCUAGGAACAAGAAGACUUCUAAUGAUAAAAAGGUUUGUCUGCUGAUGAAAAUUUAACAUUUUGCAAACAGAGAAACAAAGAAAAAGGCUUUUUAUUGUGAAGUUGAAAAAAAUAGAAGAAUGUGGCACCUUGUACAAGAACAUCUUAUUAACAGGAUCCUGUUGGGGAAGCCCUUCCUGCAGAUCCUGAUUCCUUCCAGUACACCGUUACAGCGCAGCUGGUGCAUCACCAGAGGGUUCUCCAUGGCCCCAGGAGUCUUGGUCUCAUUGGGGAUGAUGCAGCGUACAAAGUGAGGGCCUACAUCUAUUCCAGGAAAGCACCUGUCUUUCCAUUUAAGAUGCCAUUCCCAGCUGUCUGCAGUCUUUGAGUCUGUGACUUUUACCAUCACAUGAACACACCAGGGAAGGCUAUGGACUUCAGCGUAGACAAUCCAGAGUGCUGCUAGUCUUCUGAUGACUCUAUGACCAGGACAAAAUGAAAUAAUGGCAAGGAUCCUGUUGGGGAAGCCCUUUCUGCAAAUCCUGAUUCCUUCCAGUACACCGUUACAGCGCAACUGGUGCAUCACCAGAGGGUUCUCCAUGGCCCCAGGAGUCUUGGUCUCAUUGGGGAUGAUGCAGCGUACAAAGUGAGGCUGUCUAAAACCCCAGGGAAAUCUUCAUCUGUUCUGCGCCCCCUUUCUGGCUCUCAUCCUGUUAUCCUUGUAUGACUCCUCUAAGGUAUCAAAAUCAUUUGAAGGACAGGGCUUUUUGAGGUCAGCAUUUGGUGCCAGAUGAGUGUCAAACUAGCAGCCACCCUUCUCCUGACUCCUACUGACAGCAAACGAGAGCAUGCUUCAGUUCCCAUCUGUGCUACUGCAGAGACAUGAGUUACUCUGAAGACAAAGGGGACUAUAGCACAGAAGAUCUCAAAGGUCUUGGGUGGCCAUCUGUGAGUUUCACUCCUCAUCUAGCCCUUUCUGUGAUGGAGAAUGACAAGAAAAUAGACAACGAGAGACGGAUUAGAGAGAGACGACCAACAAUUGUUACACAAGAUUGUACAAUUACAACUACAACUGAAUUGUGUGGUAAAUUAUUAGUACUCCGGUUUUUCAUGCAUGAUUUCUAAAUGGAAAUGAAUUAUGCUCUAUUCUACCAUGGAUCUAUUCAAAUAUCCUUUUAAAAUGGAAAUGGAGUUUCAUGCCUUUUGGCACCUUGAAUACUGAUCCCAAGCCUGAAUUCCAUGGACACCAUUUAGCGUUUUUCAAUAUAUUUGUCCUGUGAAAUAAAGGUUAACAAAAUAUAGGUGAGUAUACCAACACAGCCACUACACUAACGUGCUCAGCUCCUUGCAUGAGAACUUUUAAUACAGCAUUGGAGCUGUCUGCAUUACAAACAACAUAAAUUACAUAUGGCAACAAUUGUUUGACACCUCGAUUUGGAACGGCAUGUGCAGACACUGUUUAAUGGUUUCUCCAAACAUUUAGGGACGCCCACAUGGCCUAGAAGAUUUUUGAUAUUGCAGGCUACGUAAUAUUUCCCUCUUUAAUUUUUAACAGCUAUUCAACUCUAAUUAAUAUAUAAUUAGCCCUGAAAAUACUAGCAAAAAGUGCAUUAACACUAACAUCUGAAAUUACUCUAAACUCAACAACUCAACCAACACAUAAAAAACUCUAAAUAAAACUGAUUUGUUCAAA